CAGCCGCCACGGUAAUACGGAGGGUGCAAGCGUUAAUCGGAAUUACUGGGCGUAAAGCGCACGCAGGCGGUCUGUCAAGUCGGAUGUGAAAUCCCCGGGCUCAACCUGGGAACUGCAUUCGAAACUGGCAGGCUAGAGUCUUGUAGAGGGGGGUAGAAUUCCAGGUGUAGCGGUGAAAUGCGUAGAGAUCUGGAGGAAUACCGGUGGCGAAGGCGGCCCCCUGGACAAAGACUGACGCUCAGGUGCGAAAGCGUGGGGAGCAAACAGGAUUAGAUACCCCUGUAGUCCCUGUCUCUUAUAU
rnacentral:rRNA from 1 species